GUAUGUAGCUAUGAGAGGUCCUACAAGAAGAUACAGUGAAGACGAUUGUGAAGAUGGUCAUGCAGAUGUUGGUCCAUUGCCAACAGUUGUAGCUAUGGAUGCUGAUGACUUGGUUGAUGAUUCUAGAAAUUCCAGGGCGGACUGUGAAGGAAUUUAUAAUUGAAAGGAAACAUUUUUUUGGUUGAUAUUGCAGAUGUUGUGAUGAAUGUUUGAUGGGAGGAACAUGUUUCUUGUUUGUAAUGAAAUUAUCUGCGUUUGCGUUGCUUGAGUGUUGUCUGUUUUGAUCUUAUUCUCUGUUUCUUAGUCUUGUUUGUUUAAUUUCCAGCAUUUUGUUCUGUGUUUCAUUGUGUUUUUAGACAUUGACACUUACUCACUUUUUUAUGUUUCAGGUGAACCUUGAUGGGGAAUCGUAAGAACAAGCGUGUGAAGAAGUCAAGGACACCGAAGAAGAAGCAGACAGAAGUUGAGGAAUUGGUAGAAAUGGAGGUUGAAAUGGAGUAAGAAGAGCAAUUCCUCGAAGAAGUACCAAACAAAGAUGUUCCAGAGGAAGAAGAGCAACUCCUCGAAGAAGUACCAAACAAAGAAGUUUUAGGGAAGAGGAGCAAAAUGAAAUGGAGGAAGAAAAGCAGAAUGAAAUGGAGGAAGGAGAGCAGAAUCAAAUGGAGGACGAAGAGCAUGAUGAAAUGGAGGAAGAAGAACUUGACCAAAUGGAGGAAGAAGAACUUGAGGAAGCUGAUGAACAGCAGACUCAGACUGACACAAUUACUCAGCGUAAAAGACGUCGAGGAGUAACGAAGAUGAAGCAGAUUGCCAAGGAUCCAAAUGAACGGCUACAUGUUGAUUUCAUCGAUUUGGGAGAACCUUGUGGUCCAGGGUGAGUAAUGUUAUCCUCCUACUUGGGUCCCUUAGUACAUGAACAUGUUCCUGUGGUCAUUGAUAACUGGAGGAAGGUUACUGAAGAUAUCAAAACUGUGCUAUGGAAGUCUAUUACGGUAACCUGAAUCAACUUAUACAUUUAUCAUGUAUUUUGGUUAUAUGCUAAUGUGUCUCCCAUACGUGAAUACAGAUGAGGUUUGACGUGGACGAAGAGUUAAAAAAGGAUGCUUUGUUUAAGCAGAUGGGAUGUUUGUGGAGAGCAUCCAAAUCACGUCUGGUAACCACAAUCAGGAAUGCUCCUACAAUGAAAGCAAGUAUGGAGCUGCGACCCAAGAAUGUAACUCCAACUGAAUGGCGUAAAUUCGUUAGAGAGAAGACAAGUUCUGCCUUCAAGGUUGUCAGUGACACUUACAGGGAAAGAAGACAGAAGCAGAGAUCCCUCACACUUGCGAUCGUAAAGGAAUGGUGAGAUUGAGAGAAGAUCUGGUUAAUGCUAGCGAAGACCCAUCAAAAGUGUCAAGGCUAAGAGUGUGAGUCAAAUCACGAACUAAGAAGGAUGGAACGCCUGUCAAUGUGAAUGCGGCUGAAAAGAUAGUAAGUCAAAAUCAAUCUGUCCACAUAGAUUUUAUGAAGUUGGAUUGUCUGCGGCUUGUUGAUAUAAUAAUUUGUCAUGUGUUUCCAGAGAAAGGCGUCAGAGAUAGAAUUUGAGGGUCGUUAAGAUUCAACCUCAACGAAUCCAAAGCAUGAUCUGAUAACUGAGAUAUUGGGACCUGAUCAACCUGGUAGGUUGAGAGCAAUGGGCAGAGGCAUUAGUAUCACCAAAUUAAACUGUUUACAAAUUAAGAACAACUUCAUGGCUGCCAUGGAAAAAACACAUGUGUCUCUGGAGAAACAGGUUUAUGAUUUGCAGCAGCAAAUUGCCAGGAUGAAUAAUCAGGGACAAGAAACUGAUGUCAGUGAAAACUCAAAUAACAAGGUAUGGACUGACUUCCUCUGUCGUAAUCUAUCUCUAUAAUUGUAGAUAUGAAUUGAUUUGAAACUUUUGUAUUUCACGUAGAGUGUAAAUACCAAGUUACUUCCAAAGUGUUAUCUUGUGGACUGGUCUGCUGUCGAUGUCAAUGUUUCUGAGGGACGGGUUAUUUCAUCGGAACCUGAGGAGUUAGUUAAUGGGAUUCCGUUAGGGCCUAAUGUUGUGAAGGUUUUAGUUGAAACUGCAACAAAACCAGAAACCUUUUUAUGGAGACCUGCACCUAAUAUGUUUACCAUGGAGGAUGCAGUAGGAGAAAUGAUUGCAUGGCAUUCCGAUCAUUGUAUUGUUCCAACGGCAGGUUUACCAGAGGACAAUGCUCCUAAGGUUAAUUUUCCUCUUCCUCUGUAGCUGAAUCUGAGUCUCAGUCUGAGUCUUUUUUAUUCAAAAUUGUUUGUUUUUGUUUUGCAGAGCCCUUUCAGCAGUUCAAAUAACAAAUGCAGACUCAUGGACUACGUACAUAAUAGGGAAGUCGUUGCUGUAGGCUGAUGGCAGACGAAAGAACCACAAGCGUUGGUCAAUGGACUUCCUCUUGGUCCAAAUGCAAUAAAAGUGUAUGUGGAUGAGGUAGUAAACCCUGAUGCAUACAUAUGGAUGCCUAUUGUGGGGAAGACAACUAUGGAGGAUUAUCAGAACUGUUUUGUAGCAUGGCCAGCAAAUAGAGUUGUGUUUGACUCAGAAAGUUCUAUAGCAGGAAGUUCAAAAGCAGUAAGUUCAACUUCUAAGAAUCAAAAGUCUCCACUGAGUGCAAAAGCUACUGCAAAACCUAGAAAGAGUGUCAGAGAUCAGUCUAGGAAUGAUGCGGAUUCUCCAUUGACUCCACCAGCUCCCACAAAGAUACCUGCAGCGACAAUGAAAGUCCAAUCACCUGUAAUUCCAGCAUCUCCUCUUCGCAGAUCAGAGGUACUUUCUUUCCUUGAACUACUUGAUUGGUUCUGGUUGUGAUUCCUCAAUAUUGGUUCUUCUUUGUGGUUUGUGGUUUCUGGUUGCAAUACUUGAUUAGUUCUGGUUGUGAUUCCUGAAUAUUGGUUAUGUUGACUGGUUUGUGGUUGCAGCGUAACAAAUUCAAGCCUAAUAAAAAAAAAUCAAGCUAUUGGACCUGUCCGGAGAUAAGGUGGUCGUCGCUGAAGGACAUGGUCAUCGAGUAAUCCUGAGCAUCUUGUCCACUUUCAACCUUUGGGGCCUGGUGCAUGUCGAGUCUUUGUGGAUGUUGUGAAGGUUAAAGAUGCUGCUGUGUGGAGGACAUCAUCAGAGAUCGAGUAUAUGGAAGAUGCACUUGGAAGCUGUCUUGCUUGGCCAGAGGAUAAAGUUCUACCGGUGAGAUAUGAUCUCGUUUAUCUGUUACAUAAGUGUUGGAAUAUGUCAAACUAAUCAGAUUUGUCUUUCUGUCCAGGUUUAAAAAGAUAGCCAAAGGAACCAAGCAAUAAGACUGUGUGUGUUUUUAAUGACUCUGUUUUUUAAGACAUGAUCGGCUUUCUGUUUCUUUGUUUCAGUACGUGACUAUGUGUUAUUUGCCCCUCUUGGAUGUUUCUAUGCUUUUUCAAUCUUAACUAAUGUGUUUAUGAUUUCAAAUGUUAGGAUAGCCCAAAAUUAAAAUGUUUAAUCACAACAAAUGCCCAAAAUUAAAAUGACCAAAUACAAUUUCAUAUACCAAAGCAAUUUAGGGUUUAGGGUAACGAUAGGGUUGAUUGUGUAGGCUUUAGUUUUAGGGUUUAGGGUAAUGACAGUGUUGAGUGAUUCAUUCAAAAAAAAAGUUGUGGUGUUUAUUGAAAGUUACCAAGAGAUAAAUAAUGACAAAAUUAAGAAUCAAUUAAGCUUUCCACCACACCUUUGUCUUUGAGGGUUAACGUUUUAGUGUGAAGUUUUAGGGGUUAGUGUAUAAAUUGUUAUACUUUGAGUGUUUAGGAUUUAUAUGUUCACAUAAUGAUGUAUUCUUUGCAUUUUUUAGUUUGUAUUGAUUAUAUGAUCAUUUAAAAAUGUAGAUAUAACAAAUACAAGUUUACACCAUCCUAAAUCAUCUCAAAAUCGAUCAACAUCCAUGCUGUUCUUACUUAGAACCAUAUUUUCGACAUAUCUAGUGGAGAAAACUAGAAAUUUUUUUUGACUAAUUAUAUCCAUUCGAUGGAGAUGAUUCAACAGUGGAGAUUAGUUUUUUAGGUUAUCCUCGUCCUUGUCUCUCAUUGGUCGACGAGGCUUUUCGGAGGGAAAGCCAAAAUUUUCUUGUUUUGGGAGCCAAAGUAAAUUUUAUUGUCUUUAUCGCCUUCUCUCCUACCCUCAAACCACCACAAAUCUCUCUUAAGCCACCACGAUUAUAUCUCUUAAUCCACCACGAAUCUCUCCUUCCAUCUCAAACCACCACAAAUCUGUGUAAGCCACCACGAUUCCAUCUCAUACCAUCAAAAAUCUCUCCGACCUUCUCCACCGCCACCAUUUAGGUUACAGAGUUCUCUGUCCUUACAGAUCCAAAAAGAUUUGAAGCCUUACAGAUCUCAAUGAUAUCUUAAUUUCCAGCAACUCUAAUGGAAGCAAGGAAGGUCAUCGUCUGUGCACUCCCGGCAGCCGGAGUGAAACCACAACUCAAACCAGAACAGACACAACAAGAAGCAUUCAACACAGCUCCACCACAACGAGGACAGUCCUCACGAGGAAAUGAUGUAGAUGAGAUAACCAGAGCGAGUUCAGAAGCUACCGGUUGAUACGCAUUGAGGAACCUGAAGAAGACAUCGACCCAGACUACCUGCGCUAUCUCCGAGCAAUAGGUGCCUACGACUCUGCUCCACCACAACAAGGACGGUCCUCAGGAGGCAAUGGUCGUCGCUAAAACAUCGACCCAAUCUUCCUGCAACUCACAAUCCAUGGGUUCUCGUCACUAAUAUAAUUACCAUUGCUUCAGUAUGUUGUAUUUGCUUAACUAUGUUUUGUUAAUUUGCUUCAGUACAAUGUUUUUCUUUCUUAAAUGUUUGUAAUGCGUAUCUCUCUAAUCUAAAUUUGAAUUUUAAUUAUAUAUAUUUUUU